rnacentral:sRNA from 1 species
ACGCGCAUGCGGGAGGGGCAGCAGCCGGCCGGGCCUGGGAACGUGGCUGGUUGGAGGAGGUGGAUCACCGUUUCUGCGGUGGACGAUUUCGUCGGUGGUAGGCUGCUACCAUGAGGUUGAAUCAGAACACCUUGCUGCUGGGGAAGAAGGUGGUCCUUGUACCCUACACCUCGGAGCAUGUGCCCAGCAGGUACCACGAGUGGAUGAAAUCAGAGGAGCUGCAGCGUUUGACAGCCUCAGAGCCGCUGACCCUGGAGCAGGAGUAUGCCAUGCAGCGCAGCUGGCGGGAAGAUGCAGACAAGUGUACCUUCAUUGUGCUGGAUGCCGAGAAGUGGCAGGCCCAGCCAGGCACCACUGAAGAGAGCUGCAUGGUGGGAGAUGUGAACCUCUUCCUCACGGAUCUAGAAGACCCCACCUUGGGGGAGAUCGAGGUCAUGAUUGCAGAAUGGUAAUGAUAGUAGCAACUUCAGUUGUUGAGAAUUAAAUGAGAUGGUGUCUGUCAAGUGCCCACACUGGAGCCUGGCACAUGGCGUCAGUACCGCU